AAUGCAGUAGGCUGAGCGGUAACAACUUCACUGGAAUAUUUCCUACCUUUGAGAGUUUGAAAAACCUUACGGCAUUAGAGAUUCAAGCUUCGGGUUUUGAAGGACCUGUACCACCAAGCAUUUCUGUCUUGACUGAAAUGAAGGAAUUAAGAAUCAGUGACUUGACUGGAAGUGCGUCAAAAUUUCCGCCACUAGAGAACAUGACAGGCCUAACUAAAUUG